UACGUAGGGGGCAAGCGUUGUCCGGAUUUAUUGGGCGUAAAGAGCGUGUAGGCGGCCUGACAAGUCUGCUGUGAAAACUCGAGGCUCAACCUCGAGAUGUCGGCGGAAACUGUCUGGCUAGAGUCCGGAAGAGGAGAGUGGAAUUCCUGGUGUAGCGGUGAAAUGCGCAGAUAUCAGGAAGAACACCUAUGGCGAAGGCAGCUCUCUGGGACGGUACUGACGCUGAGACGCGAAAGCGUGGGGAGCAAACAAG
rnacentral:rRNA from 1 species